CCUACGGGAGGCAUCAGUGAGGAAUAUUGGUCAAUGGACGAGAGUCUGAACCAGCCAAGUAGCGUGAAGGAUGACUGCCCUAUGGGUUGUAAACUUCUUUUAUAUGGGAAUAAAACGUUCCACGUGUGGGAUUUUGUAUGUACCAUAUGAAUAAGGAUCGGCUAACUCCGUGCCAGCAGCCGCGGUAAUACGGAGGAUCCGAGCGUUUUCCGGAUUUAUUGGGUUUAAAGGGAGCGUAGGUGGAUUGUUAAGUCAGUUGUGAAAGUUUGCGGCUCAACCGUAACAUUGCAGUUGAAACUGGCAGUCUUGAGUACAGUAGAGGUGGGCGGAAUUCGUGGUGUAGCGGUGAAAUGCUUAGAUAUCACGAAGAACUCCGAUUGCGAAGGCAGUUCACUGGACUGCAACUGACACUGAGGCUCGAAAGUGUGGGUAUCAAACAGGAUUAGAUACCCCAGUAGUC
rnacentral:rRNA from 1 species